UGAAGACGACGACGUUGAUAGGUCGGGUGUGUAAGCGCAGCGAUGCGUUGAGCUAACCGAUACUAAUGAACCGUGAGGCUUAACCUUACAACGCCGAAG
rnacentral:rRNA from 2 species